UCAUUAAUUAGUGUAGUAUUUAGCAAGCCACAUGUGAGAGUUUAAUUUUGCAUUAAUUAAUUGGAUGACUUAGUGGGCAAGUUGCAUGUGUGAAGUGUUGGAGAAGCUAAAUUAGUAGCUUAGUGAGCAAGUUUAAGCUUUAAACAAAACAUCUCUCUCUCUUCCCUCCCCCUCAUUUUCGAUCCCUCUCAUUUCUCUCUUCCUUCUCACUUUCUUUUCUCUCUCUACCACCAUUGAUGAUCUUUCCAAGCUUCUAAGAUCAUCUCUACACCAUAGAUCUCCAUCAAAUUCAAGCUUUAAACAUCUAUAGCCUUGAAUCAAGAGCAAAUUUUGGAGGAGUUUUCAAGAUUUGAAGCAAAAGAGGAGAUUUUUAUUUUUGUUCAAAUCCUUGAAGGACGGAGGUAAGAUCGUCCAAGUACUACGAGAGUAAGCUAAGUUUGUCAGGAUAAGCGAGAAGGAGGAAGAUCGGUCUGGUGCUGGCGGGGACUUAUUUUGGAUGACAUUGUUCCUUUUACCGUAUUUAUAUUACAUACGGUAGCUUUUUGAUGUCGAUGUUUAUAUUUUGGACUUAGUCAAGAAGUAUACUCUCGGCUAUAUGUCUUCAUACAUAUAGUCUGUUCACGUUUUGCUGCGAGACUCUGUAAAUUGUGAACCUUUGUGAAUUUUUAACUAUGUCCGCUUUGUAAACUUUGUCGAGAAUCCUUGUACUUUUGAACUUAUGAAGCCGAUAAUAUUUGUGUCUUUGAGAUGA